rnacentral:rRNA from 1 species
GACGAACGCUGGCGGCGUGCCUAAUACAUGCAAGUCGAACGCAGUGGGGACGGGUGAGUAACACGUGGGUAACCUCCCAUCAGAGGGGAUAACACUUGGAAACAGGUGCUAAACCGAUACUGAUGGAUGAACCCGCGGUGCAUUAGCUAGUUGGUGAGGUAACGGCUCACCAAGGCCACGAUGCAUAGCAGACUGGCGAGGGUGAUCGGCCAGACGUGGACGGCGACACGGCCCAACCUCCUACGGGAGGCAGCAGUAGGGAAUCUUCGGCAAUGGACGAAAGUCUGACCGAGAAACUCCGCGUGAGUGAAGAAGGUUUUCGGAUCGUAAAACGCUGUUGUUAGAGAAGCGGUAUCUAACCAGAAAGCCACGGCUAACUACGUGCCAGCAGCCGCGGUAAUUC